CUAUUUUGUUGGUGAAGUAUCACAGGGCUGGCACUUCCACCACCUCUCUCAGUAACCCAGGCUGGUUUCUGACAUUUUAUGAUCGGCGACUUAAUGCAUUUCCAGGAAAUGAAUCAUGUUAGUGGUUUGGAACAGCUUUUUUUUAGAACCCAACUACAAAUACUAAACCAAUCCUCUGUGUUCCUAAAAUAAGUGGUUUGACUUCUUUAUUUUCUUUCAUCCUUCUUCUUACCACCUUUCCAGGUUUACAUAUGAAAUUGCACCAGUGUUUGUCCUCAUGGAACAAAUAACACUUAAGAAGAUGAGAGAGAUAAUUGGAUGGUCAAGUAAAGAUGGUGAUGGGAUAUUUUCUCCUGGGUAAAGGGUCCAGUGGGAAGCCCCAGCAAUAGGGAAGCCAGCAAAACCUAUCAGGAUAUUAUCCUUUCGCUUCCUGACCUCCCUUGUCUCUUGAGACACCAGCUCAGCGUUCGUUUUUAGAAACAAUAAUCAAAGAGCCCCAACACCUCCCAAUAUGUCCGCUUGCUGACAGGGGGCGCCAUAUCCAACAUGUACAGCAUCAUGGCUGCU
rnacentral:sRNA from 1 species